rnacentral:piRNA from 1 species
UAGUGGCCCCCCUGCAUCUGCUGCACAGGC